rnacentral:tRNA from 1 species
GCGGGUGUAGCUCAAUGGUAGAGCAAUAGCUUCCCAAGCUAAAGACGGGGGUUCGAUUCCCCUCACCCGCUCCA